rnacentral:lncRNA from 1 species
CACAGCGCGCCGGGCCGGGCCGGGGGCGGACUGCAGCGGCCCUUCUGCGGGGCUGCUGCCGCCCGCUGGCUCCGCGCGUCCCCUGCCCGCCGCGAGCGGGACGCGCGGACGGUUCAAACCGAGCUGCCCCCGGUUCCUGACUAUCAUCCUGCUUUCUAGAAGGUGAGAAGUAGCAUGUUUUGGAGUCAGUAUGUAGUUGUGAACAUUUGAAAAAGUUCAAAGAGGACAUUUCCGUAAAUAACAAGAUAUUCGGAGAAGCAUAACCUAUUGGUGAUCCUCUGUUGCCCAGUAGUGUCCAAAGAUCUAUGAGAUCAGCAAGAGAGUACUUGAGUUGAAGAGCCAGAACAGAGAUGUGAGCGUGCAAAAAGAAAGGAGAUACAAUCAUGAAGGAAGUGGCUGGGAAGCUCCAAGGAUGGAAGGUUUCUGAAAUGGGGAAAGUGCUAACCUCAGAUCAUCAAAGGACUACCUCAUCAAAACUGCCCAAGAGGUUAUAACAAAGAUAAUAGAAGUAAGUCAUAUUUGUCUUUUAGGAUUUUUUUUGUCUUUUCUGACUGCUGAAUUCUAGAAAAAGAAAAAAAAGCCUGACUAUAGCAAAAGUUUUGAAGGUUGUAAAAUGUGUUAAUAAAAAAGAAAUUUUUCUAAUCCUUCA